rnacentral:rRNA from 1 species
AGUGAACGCUGGCGGUAGGCCUAACACAUGCAAGUCGAACGAGUGGCGGACGGGUGAGGAAUGCAUCGGAAUCUACCCUGUCGUGGGGGAUAACGUAUGGAAACUUUCGCUAAUACCGCAUACGAUUGGAUGAGCCGAUGUGGGAUUAGCUAGUUGGUGGGGUAAAGGCCCACCAAGGCGACGAUCCGUAGCUGGUCUGAGAGGAUGAACAGCCACACUGGAACUGAGACACGGUCCAGACUCCUACGGGAGGCAGCAGUGGGGAAUAUUGGACAAUGGGCGCAAGCCUGAUCCAGCCAUACCGCGUGGGUGAAGAAGGCCUUCGGGUUGUAAAGCCCUUUAAGUUGGGAGGCGUUACCAACAGAAUAAGCACCGGCUAACUUCGUGCCAGCCGCCGCGGUAAUAC